rnacentral:rRNA from 1 species
CUUAAGCAUAUCAAUAAGCGGAGGAAAAGAAACCAACAGGGAUUGCCCUAGUAACGGCGAGUGAAGCGGCAAUAGCUCAAAUUUGAAAGCUGGCCUUCUGGUCCGCAUUGUAAUUUGUAGAGGAUGCUUUUAGGCAGCCGCCGGUCUAAGUUCCUUGGAACAGGACGUCAUAGAGGGUGAGAAUCCCGUAUGUGACCGGCUCUGGCACCUUCUGUAAAGCUCCUUCGACGAGUCGAGUUGUUUGGGAAUGCAGCUCUAAAUGGGAGGUAAAUUUCUUCUAAAGCUAAAUACCGGCGAGAGACCGAUAGCGCACAAGUAGAGUGAUCGAAAGAUGAAAAGCACUUUGGAAAGAGAGUUAAAAAGCACGUGAAAUUGUUGAAAGGGAAGCGCUUGCAAUCAGACUUGGCUUCGGUUGUUCAACAGGUCUUCUGACCUGCCUAUUCAAUCGGAGCCAGGCCAGCAUCAGUUUCGGCGGCCGGAUAAAGGCCCUGGGAAUGUGACUGUUCCUUCGGGGACAGUGUUAUAGCCCAGGGUGUAAUACGGCCAGCUGGGACUGAGGUCCGCGCUUCGGCUAGGAUGCUGGCGUAAUGGUUGUAAGCGGCCCGUCUUGAAACACGGACCAAGGAGUCUAACAUCUAUGCGAGUGUUAGGGUGUCAAACCCUUACGCGUAAUGAAAGUGAACGGAGGUGAGAACCCGCAAGGGCGCAUCAUCGACCGAUCCUGAUGUCUUCGGAUGGAUUUGAGUAUGAGCAUAGCUGUUGGGACCCGAAAGAUGGUGAACUAUGCCUGAAUAGGGUGAAGCCAGAGGAAACUCUGGUGGAGGCUCGCAGCGGUUCUGACGUGCAAAU